rnacentral:pre_miRNA from 1 species
UUUUAUGGAUGAGUAAAGAAAGUGGUUUCUUCCAAUGGAAUCUACUCCUGGUGAAGAUGCCAUUAAAA